UCUAGAAUGUGUGUGGGAGAUGCUCUGG
rnacentral:piRNA from 1 species